CCAGUGAGAAAACUAGAUGUGACCAUCCAGAAAAAGCAUAGACAAAAAUGCAGUCUGAGUAGUGGGAUGUUUGAGAUGGGGUCUAUGUACAUGUCUCUAGCUGUCCCUAUCAGGACAGCAUCUGGGAUGGCCUGCAGAGUUGAUUCCUGUACUUUUUUUGUGUGUGGGCUGUAUGUAAAUGAUUGUUUUGACAAUCCAUUCGUCGGUGUUCUCUUCUGUGAAGGUCAUGGGUGAGCUGAUGACAGACAGCUGUACAGACUGAAUGCAAUCCUGACUAUAAAGCCGCAGUUCAUUAUGAGCUAUUUCCUUAUUCUGGCAGUGAUUGAAAUAAAAUGGGAGUGUUGGAAUAAAAAACAUUCAAUU
rnacentral:lncRNA from 1 species